ensembl:misc_RNA 7SK 7SK RNA
UAAUGUGAGGGCAAACCUCCUGAUCCCCAGAAGUUGAUUCAGCUGUUCUGGCUGGCUAGGUGAAUGAUCCCUUCCUUCCUCAAUGCUCCAUGUGCCUCCCUCCUGAAGCUGCGUGAUUGGUCGAACAGAGUGACCACUCCCAAUAAAGGAGGUCAAGGGUAUAGAGUAGCUGUGGUCCCCUGCUAGAACCUUGAAGCAAGCUCUCAAGAAAGGCUUAUAAUUCCUGAAUGUGUAAUUGGAGUGGUUUCUAGUUGAUGUGCUUAAAAGCACUUCUUAAAGUGGCUUUAUUUAAUUAUUACAUGGUUCUUGAUU